UGAGGAAUAUUGGNCAAUGGGCGAAAGCCUGAACUAGCCAUGCCGCGUGAAGGAUGACGGCCCUAUGGGUUGUAAACUUCUUUUGUACGAGAAGAAACCCUCCUACGUGUAGGGGGCUGACGGUACCGUACGAAUAAGCAUCGGCUAACUCCGUGCCAGCAGCCGCGGUAAUAAUCA
rnacentral:rRNA from 1 species